UACGUAGGGUCCAAGCGUUAAUCGGAAUUACUGGGCGUAAAGCGUGCGCAGGCGGUUUGUUAAGUCUGUUGUGAAAUCCCCGAGCUCAACUUGGGAAUUGCAAUGGAUACUGGCAGGCUGGAGUAUGGUAGAGGAAGGUGGAAUUCCCGGUGUAGCAGUGAAAUGCGUAGAGAUCGGGAGGAACACCAGUGGCGAAGGCGGCCUUCUGGACCAAUACUGACGCUCAUGCACGAAAGCGUGGGGAGCAAACAGG
rnacentral:rRNA from 1 species